rnacentral:sRNA from 1 species
AAAUCCAUUUGUUCCAGUCUGUCCAGUCAUCAACAAUCUUUUGCCA